rnacentral:lncRNA from 1 species
UCUAAUUCAUCAUUCUCGACUAAAGACAAGCACAAUGGAUAUUGAAGUUGGUAGGGAGAGUAAUGAUCAUUGUAUUUAAUGUAGCCCUUUUCCAUAUAAAUUACCAUUUUCAAACUUUGUAAAGAUAUAUGGAGUCUUGUCAUUUACAGACUACCGGUCUAUUAAAUAAAGUUGAACUUUUAUCCAAUUGUUUCUACUCUUAUUUACUUAUGCUAAAUAAAAUUGAAU